rnacentral:rRNA from 1 species
GACGAACCGUGCGAACGUUAUUCGGAAUCACUGGGCUUAAAGGGCGCGUAGGCGGGUCGUCAAGUCAGGGGUGAAAGCCCACGGCCCAACCGUGGAAGUGCCUUUGAUACUGACUGUCUUGAGGGAGGUAGGGGCAUGCGGAACUUCCGGUGGAGCGGUGAAAUGCGUAGAGAUCCGGAGGAACACCAGUGGCGAAGGCGACACGCUGGGCCGUACCUGACGCUGAGGCGCGAAAGCGUGGGGAGCAAACAGG